UACGGAGGGUGCAAGCGUUAUCCGGAUUCACUGGGUUUAAAGGGUGCGUAGGUGGGCAGGUAAGUCAGUGGUGAAAUCUCCGGGCUUAACCCGGAAACUGCCGUUGAUACUAUUUGUCUUGAAUAUUGUGGAGGUAAGCGGAAUAUGUCAUGUAGCGGUGAAAUGCUUAGAUAUGACAUAGAACACCAAUUGCGAAGGCAGCUUACUACACAAUGAUUGACACUGAGGCACGAAAGCGUGGGGAUCAAACGGG
rnacentral:rRNA from 1 species